AAAUUCCCUCCCGCACGACCAGUCUCCCCUCGUUCACGACUCAGCCGCCGCCUCCCAUUGCUAACCCAAGCGUCACACCCAUCGUUAUCCUAGGUGUCGGGGCCGGCGCUGGCGCCGCCACUCGACUCCUCCGAUCUCUCCUCUCUGGUGUCGCUGAAGCCCUAAGGAGGAGCCGUCUGGUGGUCUGAAGGUUGCGUGCCUUCCAUCUCCUCCAAUUGCUUCAUAGUCUCCCACGUGAGAGCCUGAGAUGUGGUUGUUUCUUUGUAAUGGAUGCACCGCCGGCAAACAAUGUAGGCAACAAGCCCUUGUGGAAUUAUGUGGGAGGUGGAGGAAAUAUGCGAUUCAAAUGCAGGUUUUGUACUCAUGAAUACAAUGGAAGCUGCGCGAGAGUUAAAGCACAUUUGCUUAAGAUAAGAAAUAAGGGGAUAAUAAGGUGUCCAAGUGUGACAGAUUCUACUCUUCAACAGCUUCAAAAUUAAGUUGCGGCGGCUGAAGAUCAAGUUUAUGGUGCAUUUCCAUGUUUCUAUCACCUUAUCAAGUUAUUAGAAUUCCUUAAUUAGUUGCUAUUUUGUGUGCACUCGUCUUACUCCUAUGAAGAAUCAUUACUUUUGGUAUAUAUUUUUAAUAGUUAAAUAUUAUAUAUAUAUAUUCAAAUGUAUC